CCAUCCACCGCAAUACGUCAAUAGCUUCGUCGUUCCUUCUGUCGUCGCGCUUCCUCGACCGUCGUCCACAUGGGCCAGGCCCAAUGACUCCGCCGAAUCCACCUACCCCAGCUCGAUCUCCCUAAAAUUCAUCUACUCGGUCUUCAACCCAUCGAUCUGGCGUCUGCACAGCCGAUCUGCGUCCGCCCCUUCGAUCCGGCAGGCGCAGAGGAGUCGCUUUGGCGAGUUGCACCAAGUACGCUGCUCCGCCCGCACCGAAAGCGAGAGCGAUGCGGCGCUCGACGAACGGAUGACCAGAUCGCCGGCUUGACACAAGGUCAGAAAGCUUUCCUACGGGACGCUCAUCAAGGCAGUCGAUCUGAUGCAGCUAAUCGACAGGGCGGUUUUUCUUCUCAACGAGAUGGCGCUUCAAUCGACGUUUCGCUCCUCAAAAUCCAACGACAGGACGACCACAGUCCACCGCCGGUCGACGACCCAGCAGCCUCCUACCGGCCCGCGAUUCAGCCUCCUACCGGCCUUCAAGCAUCCGCCGAGGGAACGAACCAAUCAGCGGCUCUGUCCUGCAUCAUCGGCGGGUGAGCCACUGGUCCUUGUAGGAGCUGGGCAGGGAGGGUAAAGGGCUGGUCCAGAUCGCCAGCCGGAGGAGCAGCAGGAAGGCGCGGCUCGAGGCAUGGAUCUGGGCAUUGAGGCCCCAAUCUGAACUCCUCGAUUGAUCUGGCCAUUCUUAACAGCCCGGCUGCUGUCUUCUGGUUCACAGGAGUACUCCCGCAUUUGGAUGUCCACUCAUACUCAAAUCUGAGAUCGGUUGUGGUGCUGGUAUUGCAUGAAUUGUACGAGUUGCCAGGGUCUUUCUCAGAAUCAUGGGGGCAACACUCAUUGAAGCUAUCAUCACAGGAGAGCUUACAUAUGUCGCCGGGUGAAGAGGCUAUGGCCGAACGCCGUGCUGCUGUUUCGCGUCUUUGCGCAUGCCGCCGGGUACCACUUCUCAUGCGCGAUGGUGAAGCCCUCCACCUCCCCCUCGCCGUCCCCUCCUAGGAACAUGCCGACACCUCCAGUACUGCCACGCUGCCACCCCAGGGCCGCCACACCAUCACCUCCAGGACCUACUUCGCCUCUCCAUCCUCUUAAUAAGGAUUGGGCGAGCGAUUCAACUGAAGGGAAGAGUAGUUCACUGAGGGCAGAGCAGAAGCGGACAGAUUGGAAGCUGCUCAGCUGCAGCUGAGUAGUGCAUCACGACAGUUGACAGAUUGUCCUAGGCUAAACAUAUGCAGAUUGAUUACAUGUACUGGGGAUCUGGUGUUGACAAGGUCCGUCAUUCCUGUGGUGUCGACCGCUAGGUCAUGUGCCUAUGCAUGAGCCUCCUCCCUCGAGUGCUAGAAUCGAUGACGAGUGGCAAAGAAGAAUAGGGGUGUGCCGCCGGGGUGAAGCGGUGGCGAGAGGGCGCUUGUCGAAACCAACGGCUGGAAGGUAAUGGAUUGGGUGGUCUGGUCGCCGGUAGUGGAAAGGCGGAAGGAUAGAAAUAGAUGGAAGUAGAAAGGAUGUAGCAAGUGAUUGGGUGGCCUGUGUCCUAAUUCGGGUGUGCGCUUUAUUUCGUAGUGUCAUGGACUCGAUAAAAGUUUCAUGUUAAUUAAGACUUUAAAAGAAACUUAUGUUAUAUGUGGUUGGGAAA